GCACCGGCUAACUACGUGCCAGCAGCCGCGGUAAUACGUAGGGUGCGAGCGUUGUCCGGAAUUACUGGGCGUAAAGGGCUCGUAGGUGGUUUGUCGCGUCGUCUGUGAAAUUCCGGGGCUUAACUCCGGGCGUGCAGGCGAUACGGGCAUAACUUGAGUACUGUAGGGGUAACUGGAAUUCCUGGUGUAGCGGUGAAAUGCGCAGAUAUCAGGAGGAACACCGAUGGCGAAGGCAGGUUACUGGGCAGUUACUGACGCUGAGGAGCGAAAGCAUGGGUAGCGAACAGGAUUAGAUACCCUGGUAGUCCAUGCCGUAAACGGUGGGCGCUAGGUGUGAGGGUCUUUUCACGACUUUCGUGCCGUAGCUAACGCAUUAAGCGCCCCGCCUGGGGAGUACGGCCGCA
rnacentral:rRNA from 1 species